ACUAACGCUGGCGGCGCGCCUAAUACAUGCAAGUCGAACGAUGUAGCAAUACAUAGUGGCGCACGGGAGAGUAACACGUGGAUAAUCUCCCCUCGAGAGGCGAAUAACCAGUCGAAAGAUUGGCUAAUACGCCAUAAAACCACAGAAACGAAUGUUUCAGGGGUAAAAGUAGUAAUACGCUUGAGGAUGAGUCUGCGUCCCAUUAGCUAGUUGGUAAGGUAACGGCUUACCAAGGCGACGAUGGGUAGCUGGUCUGAGAGGAUGAUCAGCCUCACUGGAACUGACACACGGUCCAGACUCCUACGGGAGGCAGCAGUAGGGAAUAUUGCACAAUGGAGGAAACUCUGAUGCAGCGACGCCGCGUGAGUGAUGAAGGACUUCGGUUUGUAAAGCUCUGUUGUCAGGGAAUAAAAAAUGAAUGUACCUGACGAGAAAGGACCGGCUAACUUCGUGCCAGCAGCCGCGGUAAUU
rnacentral:rRNA from 1 species